rnacentral:rRNA from 1 species
UACAGAGGUCCCAAGCGUUGUUCGGAUUCACUGGGCGUAAAGGGUGCGUAGGCGGUCGGGUAAGUCUGACGUGAAAUCUCCAAGCCUAACUUGGAAACUGCGUUGGAUACUCUCCGGCUAGAGGAAUGGAGGGGAGACUGGAAUACUUGGUGUAGCAGUGAAAUGCGUAGAGAUCGGAAAGAACACCAACGGCGAAAGCACUCUGCUGGGCCGACACUGACACUGAGAGACGAAAGCUAGGGGAGCGAAUGGG